rnacentral:rRNA from 1 species
GACGAACGCUGGCGGCGUGCUUAACACAUGCAAGUCGAACGAUGAACCCGGAGCUUGCUCCGGUGGAUUAGUGGCGAACGGGUGAGUAACACGUGAGUAACCUGCCCUUGACUCUGGGAUAACUGCGGGAAACUGUAGCCAAUACCGGAUACGACCCUCGGCGGCAUCGCCAGGGGGUGGAAAGAAUUUCGGUCAAGGAUGGACUCGCGGCCUAUCAGCUAGUGGGUGAGGUAACGGCUCACCAAGGCGACGACGGGUAGCCGGCCUGAGAGGGUGACCGGCCACACUGGGACUGAGACACGGCCCAGACUCCUACGGGAGGCAGCAGUGGGGAAUAUUGCACAAUGGGCGCGGGCCUGAUGCAGCAACGCCGCGUGAGGGAUGACGGCCUUCGGGUUGUAAACCUCUUUUAGUAGGGAAGAAGCGAAAGUGACGGUACCUGCAGAAAAAGCACCGGCUAACUACGUGCCAGCAGCCGCCGUAA